CCAGACUCCUACGGGAGGCAGCAGUGAGGAAUAUUGGUCAAUGGGCGGGAGCCUGAACCAGCCAAGCCGCGUGAAGGAAGAAGGCGCCAAGCGUCGUAAACUUCUUUUGUCGGGGAACAAAGGGCGCCACGUGUGGCGUUGUGAGUGUACCCGAAGAAAAAGCAUCGGCUAACUCCGUGCCAGCAGCCGCGGUAAUACGGAGGAUGCGAGCGUUAUCCGGAUUUAUUGGGUUUAAAGGGUGCGUAGGCGGGGGCGCAAGGCCGGGGGUGAAGCCCGGGGCCCCCCCCCGGGCCCGCCGUUGAAACUGGCAGUCUCGAGUUGGAGAGAAGUAUGCGGAAUGCGCGGUGUAGCGGUGAAAUGCAUAGAUAUCGCGCAGAACUCCGAUUGCGAAGGCAGCAUGCCGGCUCCACACUGACGCUGAGGCACGAAAGCGUGGGUAUCGAACAGGAUUAGAUACCCCCGUAC
rnacentral:rRNA from 1 species